UACAGAGGUGGCAAGCGUUGUUCGGAAUUACUGGGCGUAAAGGGCGCGUAGGCGGCCUUCUAAGUCAGACGUGAAAUCCCCCGGCUUAACCUGGGAACUGCGUCUGAUACUGGGAGGCUUGAGUAUGGGAGAGGGAUGUAGAAUUCCAGGUGUAGCGGUGAAAUGCGUAGAUAUCUGGAGGAAUACCGGUGGCGAAGGCGGCAUCCUGGACCAUAACUGACACUGAGAGACGAAAGCCAGGGGAGCAAACGGG
rnacentral:rRNA from 1 species